rnacentral:tRNA from 1 species
GUGGAUAUAGCUCAGUGGUAGAGUGCUUGCUUUGCAUGCACGAGGUCCUGGGUUCAAUCCCCAAUACCUCCU